UUGAGGGGAGUUUUAGAAGAUCUUUAUACACUCUUAAAGAUCAACAUCAAGGCUGUUAUCUUGUUAAAAAUCACAUUCAAAGCUGAAAUGAAACCGAGUUAAAAGAAGGGCUAAAAAGGCAAUCCUAAGUGAGGCAGAUAAGGAAGUCACCUUCCUUAUCUCUUGGCAGAUUGUUUUGAGGCUUCUUGGGGAUCCUUUGCUGAGUUAUACACGUUUUAUAUGAGCUGUUAGCAUGUUUUAUAUCAGCUGUAAAGGAUCUACAAGUCAAAGAAUUCAGCCUAAGAAGAGAAAAUCAAAUAGAACAAGUAAACAAGCUUGGCCUAAUUGCAAGAGUGCCCUUGAAACUUGCAACUCCUACAUAAAGGGGCCUCCUUCCAUGUUUUAUAAAUAGAGUGACCAACCACAUACAGACCAUAUCACAUAAAAAAGAACCAGAGACACACCAAAGAAGAAGAAGAAGAAGAAGAAGAAGCAAGACUGCAAAAUCACACCAGAGACGAUCGAUCACUGUUUCUCAAAGAUCGAUCAUUGAUCGAGAAUAAGGAAAAUCAAUAGCUUUAAAAAGAGCUAUCAGUGACUCGCCGUUGGAGAGCCUUUCGUAGGGUGCAAUUCUGGUUGGUCAUAUUUUCGACCUCCUAGCGGGCCUCCAUGGUUGCGGCGCGUUCGGCCUCGACUUGUGCGCGUGUCUCCAUGAGGUCGCACAUCACUAUCUCUAGCGCGGUGGUUGGGUCGGUGGUCAUGACUGAUCGAGUCUCGGUGUUCGGGCUCUUAAAUUCGAGAGUGCGUUGAACCUCGCGGGUCGUUGCCUCGCGAGGCGGAUCGUCGUGGCUAGUAUCCGGAUUGCUAGUAGCCAUCGAUGUGUUGUCCUGCCAGCAAGGAGCGAGGGGAGUCCUUCUAGCGCCAAAUAUUUCAGUGGUCUCGAGAGGAGUCUGGUCCAGCUGAACAUUGGUUGUAUCGGUCUGUCUCUACCAGUGUUCUAAAAAACGGCCGCCUAGACGGCACCUAGGCGCUAGGCGUCACUUGCCCGAUUCGAUUUUGGCCUGGGCGAAUGGUUUGGGCGCUGGGUUCCCAGGCGGCCGCCUAGGUGGUCUAGGCGGAGGCUGGGCGGUCCUAGGCGGCUCCGUCUAGGCACUGGGCGUUGAUUUUUUUUUUUUUUU